AACGAACACUGGCGGCAUGCCUAACACAUGCAAGUCGAACGAAGCCUUCGGGCUUAGUGGCGCACGGGUGCGUAACGCGUGGGAAUCUGCCCUUUGGUUCGGAAUAACAGUUGGAAACGACUGCUAAUACCGGAUGAUGACGAAAGUCCAAAGAUUUAUCGCCAGAGGAUGAGCCCGCGUAGGAUUAGCUAGUUGGUGUGGUAAAGGCGCACCAAGGCGACGAUCCUUAGCUGGUCUGAGAGGAUGAUCAGCCACACUGGGACUGAGACACGGCCCAGACUCCUACGGGAGGCAGCAGUGGGGAAUAUUGGACAAUGGGCGAAAGCCUGAUCCAGCAAUGCCGCGUGAGUGAUGAAGGCCCUAGGGUUGUAAGGCUCUUUUACCCGGGAUGAUAAUGACAGUACCGGGAGAAUAAGCCCCGGCUAACUCCGUGCCAGCCGCCGCCGUAA
rnacentral:rRNA from 1 species